UACAGGGGGUGCAAACGUUGCUCGGAAUCAUUGGGCGUAAAGCGCACGUAGGCGGUUCGUUAUGUCGGAUGUGAAAGCCCUUGGCUUAACCGAGGAAGUGCAUCCGAAACUGGCGAGCUAGAGUACGAAAGAGGAUCGCGGAAUUCCCGGUGUAGAGGUGAAAAUUCGUAGAUAUCGGGAGGAACACCGGUGGCGAAGGCGGCGAUCUGGGUCGAUACUGACGCUGAGGUGCGAAAAGCGUGGGGAGCAAACAGGG
rnacentral:rRNA from 1 species